rnacentral:lncRNA from 1 species
GUUAAUUAGAGAGUCCUUCAAAGGCUUGAACUUCACUUUAAGAGAAGGGUGAGGAGACUGAACACCCAAGCAAACAAUUUGUUCAUAUUUCAGUUUAUUAAGUCGAAAGAAAAUCAUAUGAAUCAAAUGUGCCAUUGGUGUCGGGUUUUGAUGUUCUCCCCGACUGCCAGUCAUAUACAGUGCAUUCUAUGUGCUCUAUUGGUAACUUGUCUUCAGGUGAAAACGUUGCUUAGUAACCUUGAAAGGGUGAAAUUGAAGACAAAUGUUUAGAAAGACGAACAGUGGUUAAGCUAAUAGGGUCAGAAUUCUUUUCCACAAUUUUCAGAACCUGAAAUCAGAGAUCAAUGGCUACUUUACAGCUCAGUUAAAUAAUUUACACUCAGCAGUUUCUCCUGGUUUUAAGGAGGAAAGGUGAUAUACUGAGAAACAAGUUUAUGGAGGUCCUACUACUUCAAUGGACCAGAAAGCACUCACAUGAUCAGCAGUUGCUAACAUAAUGUCCACAAGGCUUGUUGGAUACAAGUCCAGUUGGUCCUCUUCACAGAAGGCUUGGCUAAGGCUGAUAAACAUCUGGAAGACCAGCAGUAACCAAGCAACAUAGUUAGAUUUAGUGACUGAUUCAGGAACAUAGAAAAGUGUUUUUACUGAAUCUGAAUAUUGGACAAAAAAGCUCAGUUUUUUCUACAGUAAUUCCCCAGCGUACACACACUCAAGAAUUUCACACAGGGCUCUUCGUAGUCCUCCUUGGAGGUACCAGGGACACAGGGAGACUUUGAAUGCUAAGGUGAUGUUGUGCCACAGAGCAGUGAGCCUCUUCCUAAAGGUCUGUUUUUGCCCCUUUAGAUGAUGGGGAGCAGAAACUGAAGCAUCUUCCAAUGCGAAUGUUCCAGCAGCAGUUUCACAGCCCUGAAAAUGGGCGAGGCUCUGAGGAGGAAACAGUUAAACCGACAGCAGUGGAGGGAGAAAGUUCAAAACGACAGCCCCACUAUCUCCAGGAAGGCUCUCCGGAAAAUUACUUUACCCUGAAUGCAGGACCUUCCAACUUCUCACGCCAAAGUCUGGAGGAAGUAAACAGGACUGGAUGUGAUGUAGACAGAAGCCACUGCAGAGAAGAAAGAGAAUCUGACCUCCAGAGAAGAAUUAGCACGGCCGAUGCUCUAGAAGAAAAUUCUAAUGAUGAAUGGACUGGCAAGGACCUGAAUGAAGUUUGUGAGAAACUGGGAGAAGCGACUCUCCUGUCCAAGGGAUCCAAACUAGAACUUUGCAGAGUCUGGUUCUCUAUGCCCACCUACUACUGGGUUUUGCUCUGGCUGUUUUUUCUGGGAAUUGCUUGCCUUAUAGUUAUCCGGAUCCUGGAGGUGCAGAAACAAUAUCCACUUGCAGCCUCUGAAUUUUAGUCUGCAAAGCAGCAGAAUAACUCUACACAGGAACAGUGCAUCAUGAAAAUCUCAAGGCAGCCUACGUAGGAAAAAUAAAAAUAAGAAAGAGAUGGUGUGUGUGUGUAUA